rnacentral:rRNA from 1 species
GGAUGUAAUCACCUUAUUAUUAACUCGGACAAUCUGGAGGUGAUUGAUACCAUGCAGGAUGGAGGACAGCCCAUGGGUGCGACGUCGACAAUUUUUGAUGAUUGUUUUCAUUACACUUGUGAUUUUGUUAGCACUAGAUUCGAACACUGUAAUAGAGAAGCAAAUAAGGUAGCUCACGAGCUCGCUAGAAUAGCUAGAUUUUCUUUCACUUCGGACUGGGAGGAGCCUUUAAAUGAAAUUGUAAUGAUCCUCACAAACAAUGUAUUGGUUAUAUAUAAUGAAUAA